rnacentral:tRNA from 1 species
GCCUCGCUGGUGUAGUCCGGCCAAUCAUUUCGCCCUCUCGAGGCGAAGACUCGGGUUCGAAUCCCGAGCGAGGCA